GAUUAAUCUUGCAUUUUAUAAAGAAAAAAUGCAACAGUUUUGCCUAAAAAGUCAUGAUACAUGGUCUAGUUUCAUGCCAUCAACACAGAUUUUGUACAUUUUUAGACAUUUUCGUGCACUUUAUCACCAAAAUACGAUACGAGCGCAGGGGAGAACAAUUUUAAUUUUUGGAUAUGUUUUGAGGAUUGCAAAAACACGAAGAAUGAUACAUGAGAGAAAAUUGUUCUAAAGUGCGCUCGUAGUAAAUUUUGAACAAAUACGGUAUUUUCGUCGGAAAAUUCUACUCUAAAAAUAGCCAUGUAAAGGGACGAAACUCUUGAUCUCCUUGAAGAGCUUGGCGUAAAGGUAAAUAAAAACAUGUUGUGACGUAAUGCGGAAGUGAUAUCGGUUGCUUGAAAAAUGGAUUUUUGUCAAAUUACAGUGAACAGGUUAUUGUGAGAUAGUCUGAUUACUUUGGAGCUGCCAGAUUGUGUAUGAAAUCCUGAAAAAAGUAUUUCAACAACUUUUUCAUGAACCACAGAAACUUCACCUUACCAAAUUGUAGGACCAGACAUUGUGAGAAAGUUUGAUUGCAUUCAAGAGCUGCCAGAGCUAAAGCUAGAAAAGAAACUAAACAACUUCUUCUCAUGAUCUGCUUAAUUGAUCUUCACAUUGAAUUGUCAACCUGUAUGCUACAUUGUAUAAUGACGUUGAGCAAAUAAAGAUACUGCAGUCAGCGUUACAACCUUCAUUAAACAGAAUGAAUUGGUGUUACAGAAAUGGAUAACUUAUGUAGACAAACACUUUCAGACUACUGAAACUACACAUUGUUUGAGACUAUGAGAAUAGCUUAUUUUCAUGAUGGAACUCAUACCACAAAGAAAGAACUUGCUUUAUCUUAUUUCUUACAACUAGUCGUCAAAGACAUACCCAAGUAAACUACAUCAGGAAAGAAAGCAAACAAAGUUGAUUCAGGAUUUAGAAUUGAAUGUUUUUGUGUCAACAGUGUGUGGAAACUGCGGAAAAUAGGAUUUUAAUUUCAAGGAUUUGAUUUAGUAUGUCAAGGAGUGAUUUGUUUUUAAUUCAUCACACAAGUUAUUGACAAUGCUCUAAAAUAUAAAUAGGAUGUGUAAAUACAGACUUUCAUACCUAACUAAAAUAAUGUUGAACUCAACAGAAUA
rnacentral:lncRNA from 1 species